rnacentral:rRNA from 1 species
UACGUAGGGAGCAAGCGUUAUCCGGAAUUAUUGGGUUUAAAGGGUGCGUAGACGGGAUAACAAGUUGGUUGUGAAACCCCUCGGCUCAACUGAGGAACUGCAACCAAAACUAUUAUUCUUGAGUGCAGGAGAGGAAAGUGGAAUUCCUAGUGUAGCGGUGAAAUGCGUAGAUAUUAGGAAGAACACCGGUGGCGAAGGCGACUUUCUGGACUGUAACUGACGUUGAGGCACGAAAGUGUGGGGAGCAAACAGG